AGAGUUUGAUCAUGGCUCAGGACGAACGCUGGCGGCAGUGCUUAACACAUGCAAGUCACGGGGGUCCCGCAAGGGAUAACCGGCGAACGGGUGCGUAACACGUGAACAACCUGCCCUCGUGUGGGGGAUAGCCGGGCUAACGCCCGGGUAAUACCGCAUACGUUCUCUUUGGGGAGUCCCGAGGAGAGGAAAGCUCCGGCGCACGGGGAGGGGUUCGCGGCCUAUCAGCUAGUUGGCGGGGUAAUGGCCCACCAAGGCGACGACGGGUAGCUGGUCUGAGAGGAUGGCCAGCCACAUUGGGACUGAGAGACGGCCCAGACUCCUACGGGAGGCAGCAGUGGGGAAUCUUGCGCAAUGGUCUAACGACUGACGCAGCGACGCCGCGUGUGGGAGGACGCCUUUCGGGGUGUAAACCACUGUUGCCCGGGACGAACAGGUCUAUUCGUAGACCCUGACGGUACCGGGUGAGGAAGCACCGGCUAACUCCGUGCCAGCAGCCGCGGUA
rnacentral:rRNA from 1 species